GACGAACGCUGGCGGCAGGCCUAACACAUGCCAGUCGAGCGGAGCGGCGGACGGGUGAGUAAUGCCUAGGAAUCUGCCUGGUAGUGGGGGAUAACGUCCGGUAACGGGCGCUAAUACCGAAUACUAUCAGAUGAGCCUAGGUCGGAUUAGCUAGUUGGUGGGGUAAAGGCCUACCAGGGGGACGAGCCGUAACUGGUCUGAGAGGAUGAUCAGUCACACGGGAAAUGAGACACGGUCCAGAAUCCUACGGGAGGAAGCAGUGGGGAAUAGUGGACAAUGGGCGAAAGCCUGAUGCAGCCAUGCCGAGUGUGUGAAGAAGGUCUUCGGAUUGUAAAGCACUUUAAGUUGGGAGGCGUUACCAACAGAAUAAGCACCGGCUAACUUCGUGCGAGCAGCCGCGGUAAUUC
rnacentral:rRNA from 1 species